AGUGAACGCUGGCGGUAGGCCUAACACAUGCAAGUCGAACGGCAGCACAGGAGAGCUUGCUCUCUGGGUGGCGAGUGGCGGACGGGUGAGGAAUACAUCGGAAUCUACUUUUUCGUGGGGGAUAACGUAGGGAAACUUACGCUAAUACCGCAUACGACCUACGGGUGAAAGCAGGGGACCUUCGGGCCUUGCGCGAUUGAAUGAGCCGAUGUCGGAUUAGCUAGUUGGCGGGGUAAAGGCCCACCAAGGCGACGAUCCGUAGCUGGUCUGCGAGGAUGAUCAGCCACACUGGAACUGAGACAGGGUCCAGACUCCUACGGGAGGCAGCAGUGGGGAAUAUUGGACAAUGGGCGCAAGCCUGAUCCAGCCAUACCGCGUGGGUGAAGAAGGCCUUCGGGUUGUAAAGCCCUUUUGUUGGGAAAGAAAUCCAGCUGGCUAAUACCCGGUUGGGAUGACGGUACCCAAAGAAUAAGCACCGGCUAACUUCGUGCCAGCAGCCGCAGUAA
rnacentral:rRNA from 1 species